CUCAGGUCUUGGCUUUAUUUUAACCUAAGAGACUUCCAGGUCUCUCUCGGAAGGAGAUCGUACGACUUAUUCUAGAACUAAACUUCGAGUACAAUUAACUGUAAACCCUUAAAUUUUCUGGACAUUCGAUUAAAUUUCAGUCAACAGCAAUGAGUGUCGAACCUUUUAACAAAUUGGUGAAGCUUGCGGCACGGGCUUUUUAUGAUGAUAUAACGACAAAAGGCGACAAUCAACCCAAAACUGGGCGGAGUGAUAACAGAGGGAUCGCCGUCGUGGUGCUCGAUGCGUUAACGAGACGGCAAUGGGUAAGGGAAGAAGAUUUGGCGAAGGAUUUGAAACUGCACUCCAAGCAACUUCGCCGGACAUUGCGAUUUUUUGAGGAAGAAAAACUAGUAACCCGUGAUCAUAGGAAAGAGACAGCUAAGGGUGCAAAGAUAUAUAGUGCUGCUGUUGCAGCCACAGCUGAUGGUCAAGCAUUUGCAAAAGAGGGGGAAGAAAAGAUUAAGCUGCACACUCACUCAUACUGUUGUCUAGAUUAUGCACAGAUCUAUGAUGUUGUCAGGUACAGAAUCCACCGAAUGAAGAAAAAAUUGAAGGAUGAGCUGGAUAACAGGAACACAAUUCAGGAAUAUAUAUGCCCUAAAUGUGAUAAAAGAUAUAAUGCCUUGGAUGCUUUGCGAUUGGUUUGUGAGGAAGAUGGUAAUUUUCGCUGUGAAAGUUGCCAUGGAGAACUCCGGGCAGAGAGUGACAAGUUUGCAGCUCAAGAAGGAGGAGAUGGAGAUGAUAAUGCAAGGAAGCGGCGCCGUGAAAAACUGAAGAGCAUGCUUCAAAAAAUGGAGACUCAGCUCAAGCCCUUGAUGAGUCAACUCGACAGAGUGAAAGAUUUGGCUGUGCCUGAAUUUGGAACUCUCCAAGCAUGGGAAGCUCGAGCAAGUGCCGCUGGGCGUGCAGCUAAUGGUGAUUCUAGUUCCAAUGAUCCUUCAAAAUCUUCUCAGGUUGGGUAUGGUGGAACACCAAUGCCAUUUCUUGGUGACACAAAGGUUGAAGUUGCCUUUGCUGGUGCUGAAGGCAAGGAAGUGGAUGUCAAAUCUGAUGCUGCCACAUCUCUCAAAGUGUUGCCACCUUGGAUGAUCAAGCAAGGAAUGAAUCUUACAAAGGAACAACGUGGAGAGGUUGAGCCAGAGUCAAAGAUGGGUGAAAGUUCAGUUACCGGAGGAUUGUCAGAUGACAAGAAGUCCACUGUUGAAGAUGAUAAAAGGAGCUUACAGGCUCGUGCAAUGAUGAGUAUGUUAAAGCUUAUUAUGCUGCUUUAUUUAAGAAACAACAAGAGCUGCAAGAAGCUGCAAAGAUGCAACAGGAAACUUCAAACACACAACCCAUUUCUGAUGGUGGAAAUCAUGCCAAUCGUCAAGUGGGCAUGAAGGCAAAACGUGAAGACAAUGAGGGAGAUGAUGAUGUCGAUUGGGAAGAGGCUCCAGUUGCAGGCAAUACAAAUGAAUAUAAGGUCAAUGACUUGAAUGUUGAAGCCGAGGCUUCUGGAGAGGAAGAAGACGAUAUCGACUGGGAGGAAGGUUGAAGAAAGAAGGGAAUACUCUAUUGGUAGAAUGAAUUUCUGCUUCCUUUGACAGCAAUAUGUAAUAUAUAUGAGCAAAGGUGGGCGCCCUUUGCACAGAUUUCCCUCAAGUCACCAUUGCUAGUCAUCUAUGCUAUUUGAAGAACUAACUCAUACUUUUUAGGCGUGGGAAAGCAACACUUGGUUGAGUGCCCUGGAAAUAUUUUGUAAAGAACUUUGUUUUUUCUUUUUCGUUGUAUUUUUGCUGAUACGAAACACUAAAACUUCAAUAAAUGGUAUCAUAACUACGAACUUUGGCAUUUUUUUAUCA